rnacentral:rRNA from 1 species
UACGUAGGGUGCGAGCGUUAAUCGGAAUUACUGGGCGUAAAGCGUGCGCAGGCGGUGAGUUAAGUCUGCUGUGAAAGCCCCGGGCUCAACCUGGGAAUGGCAGUGGAAACUGGCUCGCUGGAGUGUGGCAGAGGGGGGUGGAAUUCCGCGUGUAGCAGUGAAAUGCGUAGAGAUGCGGAGGAACACCGAUGGCGAAGGCAGCCCCCUGGGCCAACACUGACGCUCAGGCACGAAAGCGUGGGGAGCAAACAGG